rnacentral:tRNA from 1 species
CGGGGUGUAGCGCAGACUGGUAGCGCGCCUGGUUUGGGACCAGGAUGUCGGAGGUUCAAAUCCUCUCACCCCGACCA